rnacentral:snRNA from 1 species
GUGCUCAAUUCAGCAGCACAUAUACUAAAAUUGCAACAAUACAGAAAAGAUUAGCAUGGUCCCUGUGCAAGGAUGACACACAAAUUUGUGAAGCGUUCCAUAUUUUU